rnacentral:rRNA from 1 species
GACGAACGCUGGCGGCGUGCUUAACACAUGCAAGUCGAACGGAAAGGCCCUGCUUUUGUGGGGUGCUCGAGUGGCGAACGGGUGAGUAACACGUGAGUAACCUGCCCUUGACUUUGGGAUAACUUCAGGAAACUGGGGCUAAUACCGGAUAGGAGCUCCUGCUGCAUGGCGGGGGUUGGAAAGUUUCGGCGGUUGGGGAUGGACUCGCGGCUUAUCAGCUUGUUGGUGGGGUAGUGGCUUACCAAGGCUUUGACGGGUAGCCGGCCUGAGAGGGUGACCGGCCACAUUGGGACUGAGAUACGGCCCAGACUCCUACGGGAGGCAGCAGUGGGGAAUAUUGCACAAGGGGCGGAAGCCUGAUGCAGCAACGCCGCGUGCGGAUGACGGCCUUCGGGUUGUAAACCGCUUUCGCCUGUGACGAAGCGUGAGUGACGGUAAUGGGUAAAGAAGCACCGGCUAACUACGUG